rnacentral:rRNA from 1 species
AUUGAACGCUGGCGGCAGGCUUAACACAUGCAAGUCGAGCGGGGUGAUGGUGCUUGCACUAUCACUUAGCGGCGGACGGGUGAGUAAUGCUUAGGAAUCUGCCUAUUAGUGGGGGACAACAUCUCGAAAGGGAUGCUAAUACCGCAUACGUCCUACGGGAGAAAGCAGGGGAUCACUUGUGACCUUGCGCUAAUAGAUGAGCCUAAGUCGGAUUAGCUAGUUGGUGGGGUAAAGGCCUACCAAGGCGCCGAUCUGUAGCGGGUCUGAGAGGAUGAUCCGCCACACAGGGACUGAGACACGGCCCAGACUCCUACGGGAGGCAGCAGUGGGGAAUAUUGGACAAUGGGGGGAACCCUGAUCCAGCCAUGCCGCGUGUGUGAAGAAGGCCUUAUGGUUGUAAAGCACUUUAAGCGAGGAGGAGGCUCUUUUGGUUAAUACCCAAGAUGAGUGGACGUUACUCGCAGAAUAAGCACCGGCUAACUCUGUGCCAGCAGCCGCCGCAG